rnacentral:rRNA from 1 species
UGGGGAAUUUGGACGAAUUGGGCGAAAGCCUGAUCCAGCAAUGCCGCGUGUGUGAAGAAGGCCUUCGGGUUGUAAAGCACUUUUGUCCGGAAAGAAAUCCUUGGCUCUAAUACAGUCGGGGGAUGACGGUACCGGAAGAAUAAGCACCGGCUAACUACGUGCCAGCAGCCGCGGUAAUACGUAGGGUGCAAGCGUUAAUCGGAAUUACUGGGCGUAAAGCGUGCGCAGGCGGUUUGCUAAGACCGAUGUGAAAUCCCCGGGCUCAACCUGGGAACUGCAUUGGUGACUGGCAGGCUAGAGUAUGGCAGAGGGGGGUAGAAUUCCACGUGUAGCAGUGAAAUGCGUAGAGAUGUGGAGGAAUACCGAUGGCGAAGGCAGCCCCUGGCAAGUACUGACGCUC